GCUUUCCGCUAACUACCACCGUCCUGCCGGGUUCCACACAGGCUGCUGCUGCAGUGGGGCAAACUUGAAAGGCUGAAGGCCUCUUCCACCGCAGACCUCUCACCUUGCCAGGAAAGAGGACUAAAAGGCAAAGGUAACCACGGCCCCAAAGGAGGCGGCGAACAGGAAGUGUCCAUAUUGCAGCGCUGAAACAGUAGCUCCCAAGACAGCCACCCUCUGAGGCCCCCUCGAGGCGGUGGAGGGGCGAGAGGGUGCCGGGGUCGCUCCCACACACACCCGGGACCCGCCUCUGCCCACCACAACGCCCGGCCGCCCCCGGCACCUCCCCGUGCACUACUUGGCGGGGCCCAGCCAGUCCCAACUGGGGCCGGACGAGGACUCCGAGCCCGACAUGUCUCGCUCCACUUCAAGCCAGAGGAGGGGGCGUUGCAAAGGCUCCGAGGUGCUUGGGGUACUUCCCUAACAGCAGAUUCCAGCCCCGAGCCGAGCCCUGAGGGUCCUUGGGGCCCCCUCCACGCCUUCCCGGAGAGACGACACCCCUCGCCGCGGUUUCCGCCGCGCGACAGCCCCUCCCGGGCGGUCAUUACCUCUCAGGAAAAACUCCUAACUCCUCACAAGCCACACUCCCCUCAGUUCGACAUCCCCCGGAGCCCACACACCACCCGAUACGCGCGCCGGGGACACCCCCGCGCCGGCGCAAAUUCCUCACUGGACAAAAAUGUCCGGGCGCGUCACGGGACAGCCGCCUCCGCGCCCCACGCCUGGCGCGGGUCGCUCGCGCUGCCUCCGCGCCCGGGAGCUGCGCCGCGGGCUGGGGCGGGGAGCGCCGACCCUGGAGGGGACCGCUCCGCCCGGGACUCACCGUCAGCUCGGCCGGGAGGCGAGGGACCGGCCGGGGAAGACACAAUAUGGCAGAGCACCGCAGCUGUUCCCUGCAGCUUCCAGCAGUCGCCUCCGGGAAGACGCGGCAACCAGCAGGCAGCAGCAGCUGCAGUGGCGGCCCCGGCAGCACCACAUCCCCCUCCCGCUCGCUUCCUCCCCCUCCCUCCCCUUCCCCGCUGCCAUGGCAACGCGGCGCCAAGGCGAUUAGCCCCACCCCUCCCUCCAGUCCCGCCUCCCGCGACCCCGAGGAAGGGGGCUCGGCCGGCCCCUCCCGGUUCCCGCCCACCUCCUACCGAAGGGAGGGGCCUGGGUUCCGGCUGGCUGCCUGGCACGGCGGCUGGGGUGGGGGUGAAAUGCAGGGUCCGGAAGGGCGGGGCUCACACGGAAAGCAGGGUGGAGGCGCUGUAGGCCGGUGCGGGUUUAGGGCUGAGCAGGGCAGGGGAAAGCGGGAAAAUGCAAAGGCCUCGCAUGUCCGAGGAAGGACCUAUAGGAGUGCGGCGGAGGCGCGGCGCGGCCGCUGAGUGGUCGAGGAGGCGCGGGGGCGGGGCUAGGCUGCCGCAGGGCAGUACGGCCCUCGGUGCCUGUGCCCGGGCUGAGGAGACCUUCCUCGACACCCCACGUUAUGUGGGUUUCCGCAAGACCUUCCGCCAUUGCCUGGGCUUUGAAAGCGCUUUAGGAACGAUACGGAAACGGAGGCUUAGAAGUGGAAACUUUACAGAUAUGGAAACUGAGACUUAGAAAAAUGACCCGUCAAAGAAAACGAAGAUCCCCAAAUCUGCUGUUAUGAUGAAUAAUCUAAGAGCACAAUUAUAAUCUGAGAUCUGAACCAGAGGUGGGAUUUCACCAUGUUGCCGAGACUGGUCUCAAACUCCUGAGCUCAAGUGAUCCUCCUACCUCAGCCUUCCGAGUAGUGGUGACUACGGACACAGGCCAUACACUUCACUGGAUGGAAGACAUUCUCCAGUAGUUUUCUGAAAAAGAGUAUGCAGAAGUUAAAUUUUCUGAGAUCUUGGUUGUCUGAAAAUGUCUUUAUUCUACCUUCCUGCUUGAUUGGUGCAGUAACUAGAUAAAGAAUUUGAGAUCAGGAAUGUUUUGCCUUUAGAAUGUUGAAGGCUUUGCUCCAUGAUGUCUAGUUUCAAGUGCUGCUAUUGAGAAAUCUCAAGCUAUUCUGAUUCCUAGUAUGUGACUGAUUUUUUGGUAGGAUUUUCAUUUUGUAUCCAAUGAAAUUUCAAAAUGAUAUGCCUUUGUAUGAGUCUAAUUUUCACUUAUUCUGUCGGGCAUCCAGAAGGCCCUUGCAGUCUAGAAACGGGUAAAUUCUCUCGAAUUAUUCAUUACUUCUUUCUUCUUCUCUGUUAUUUCGAUGUUGGAUCUCCUGACUGGGCUCCACUUUUCUUCUAAUUUCUCUUCUAUUUUCUUUCUUUUUUUUUUUUUUUUUUUUUUGCUCUAUUUUCUGGAGAAUUUUCUCGAAUUUAUAUUCCACAUUUCUAGUGACUUUUUUCAUUGCUGUUAUCACGUUUUCAAUGUUUAAGAGCUCUUUUUUUGUUGUUUUUUGAAUUUUUUCACAGCACUCUAUGUGCAAGAUCUUCUCUUGUCUUUCUGAGGAUAUUAAUAUACUUUUAAAAAUAUAUAGUUUAUUUUUCCUAAAAGGCUCUUUGUUCUAAGUUGUCUUUUUUCUAUUUGUUUGUUGUGAUGUUCAUUUUCCAUGUUAGGGUCUUUCCUCAGAUGUCUGGUAAUCCUUGGUUUUCUGUUCAUGAUUUAAAGUGAGGAACUAAUUUUCUCGGGUGUUGGAAAUGUUCCAUAUCCUGGUAGGGAUGUGAGUUACAUGGGUGUACACAUUUGUCAAAACUGCUUAAACUGUAUACUUACAAUCUGUGCAUUGCACUACUGUAUAAAUUAUACCUUAAAAAACCCACCCAAUUUAAAAAAAAUAAAACUAAAAACAAGUGAGGAAUGAAAACACUAGAAGCUCUGAGCAAGUGAGUGGGCCUUACCAAUCUAGAAAUUUACCUUUGGCCCAUCUGGGUGAACCAUUUGUUGGUACAGAACCCAGCCCUCAGUGGGGCCUGACAUUCCCCUGUCCUAAUACUCUCUUUUUCCUUCAAAAUGAGUAAACAUCCAGGCUAUACUAGGAUACAGGAGGACAGUUCCCCAGCAGUAUCGAGUGGGGGAAGCAGCUUUAAGGGCUUCACUACUUCUCAAUCAUCUUUCACCCAAUCCUCCUUAUAUCAGCAUGAUGCCCCUUCACCACAAUUCCAUUGUUACCUGGUAUAAAUAGUUGUUGAAACUUUUGAGACUUUUGCAAUGUAAAUUGAUUUGUUUCUUUGCUUUCUUCACUGCCACUAUCCAGCUUCUGAAAUAUUGUUGUUCUUGUCUCUACUCUUGUUCACCCAGUUCCAGAGGGAUUACAUCUUUUUUAGAAAAUAAAUCUCUUUAUUGUACCUUGUGUAGGAUUUCAAGAGGAAGAGAAAUAAGAUGUGUAUCCAAUCUACUACCUUAGAAUUCAGGAAAUCAGAAAUGUGGUUUUAAGCUCUCCAGCUUCUGCAAUACAGGAAGAUCCUCUAUAAGGAGUUUGGAAUCAAUGCUAAAAAUGACCCACCAACACUAACAUAUUCCACUCCUUUGGCCAGUUAACAUCUCUACAUAUCCUUCUGUCCAUACUUUAAUUUCUAAACAACAGUAGCAAUCCAAACAUGCUCUCACCUAACAAAAUGCCAUGAUCCUUUGUGCAAAUGAAAACAUGCUCAGUAUCUCUAUUAUUGGUUAUUAUCUAUAAUUAUGUGUGUGUUGAGUGGUUUCUGCAACUGAUCAUGAGGCCACAAUUUGUAUUCAUAACUUCCUUCCUUUGUACCAGCAAUACUGCUGUUUGGGGUUCAUUUUGUCUGUUAAUUCAAUUAGUGGUUGGACUAGACAUUUUGAACUGCCAAGAAGAAAAUUUCAAAUAAGUCUUCCCUAUCCUUCAUUAUUUUCAAAUGCAGAUCUCCAGCCUUCUGGCAUUGCAGGGAUAGUUUUGAUAUUACUGAAAAGAGAAAAGCAAAAAAGGGUCAUGUGUUGCACUUUUCUGUGAAGAUGAGGGUCCCAGGUGAAAAUCACAGCUAGACACCUGAGCACUUUUAAAAAGUUAAGCAAAUAUGGAUUCAUUUACUGAUAUAAGGAAGAUGGACAUGCCUUGGAUUCAAGGCCAGCAAGUGGUAAGGUUGCUAUGUUUGUUAUCCAAGUUAAGAAGCCUGACUGAUAUGGUUAGGCUUUGUGUCCCCACCUAAAUCUCAUCUUGAGUUGUAAUCCCCAUAAUCCCCACGUGUCAAGGAAGAAACCAGGUGGAGGUAAUUGAAUCAUGGGGCCGUUUCCCUCAUGCUGUUCUCGUGAUACUGAGUGAGUUCUCAGGAGAUCCGAUGGUUUUAUAAGGGGCUCUUCCCGCUUCACUCGGCAUUUCUUCCUGAUGGCUUGUGAAGAAGGUGUCUUGCUUACCCUUCGCCCUUCUCCGUGAUUGUAAAUUUCCUGAGGCCUCCCCAGUCACGCUGAACUGUGAGUCAAUUAAACCUCUUUCCUUCAUAAAUUACCCAGUCUUGGGCAGUCCUUUAUAGCAGUGUGAAAACGAACUAAUACACUGACUUUCUGUUCAAGAAAGCCAUCAACCGUGAUCCAGAGAUGGUCAGCAGGGGUAAUUGCAAGUAGAAUUAAGUUGGUCCUCAACAAGCAGUUUUGUAAGGGUAACACAUUUUUUUUCAGUGUCCUCCUUCCUCUCUCAUCGGCCCCAGUUUUUCCUUCUCUCCCCAGCCUGUAUUGCAUUUGUACCUGUCUCUGCUCAAAUACAAACUGUUUAUAAUGUCAACUGAUAAAAGACUGGUAUAACCCCUUUAAGAGUUAUUUGCAUUUCAAUAGAGGAUUCAUCGAAACUGAAAAGGUUUCAAAAUUAAAGAGUAGAACUUUACUGAUAAAAUAACAGAUGGUGAAAUUAAUCUGCCCCACCUCCACCUGAUUUUGAGCAGAAGGUCCCAUUAGCCUACCAUUCCACUGAAUUGCUCUGUAAUAUAGAUUAUAAUUAAUGAUGGGGCAGUAUUAUAUUCACAUCUCUUGACAGUCAGCCCAUGUUCAGACUCUAUUGUCAUAGAGCUGAAAGGUGAGCUUUAUUAAUUUAUAUUUCUAUUAUUAAGCCUAGAAUAUGUGCAUAGUGGUCAGCUUGUAUGUUUAUGAUACAGAGCUCUAGUCUGUCAACACAGGUUACAUCAUCUGCCAAAUUUAUACCUGGUCACUAGGAAAACUGACUUGGGGAACUAAUGGUAAUUUUCCCAGGUCUCUUUCAUCUGGCAAUUUUAACCACUUUUUUUUUUAAAUUUUUGUGGGUACAUAGUAGGUAUAUAUAUUUAUUGGGUACAUGAGAUGUUAUGAUACAGGUAUGCAAUGCAUAAUAAUCACAUCAUGGAAGAUGGGGUAUCCAUCCCCUCAAGCAUUUAUCCUUUGUGUUACAAACAAUCCAAUUAUAUUCUUUUAGUUAUUUGGAAAUGUACAAUGAAAUUAUUAUUGACUAUCG
rnacentral:lncRNA from 1 species